rnacentral:rRNA from 1 species
AUUGAACGCUGGCGGCAGGCUUAACACAUGCACGUCGAGCUCGCGGCGGACGGGUGAGUACUGUCUGGGAAACUGCCUGCUCGCGGUGUAUACCUCCUGGACACGGUCGCUAAUACCUCAUACCAUCAGAUGUUCCCAGAUGGGCUUAGCUAGUCGUGGGGGUAAUGGCUCCCCUAGGCGACGAUCCCUAGCUGGUCUGAGAGUAUGACCAGCCACACUGGAACUGAGACACGGUCCAGACUCCUACGGGAGGCAGCAGGGGGGAAUAUGGCACAAUGGGCGCAAGCCUGAUGCAGUCAUGCCGCGUGUAUGAAGAAGGCCUUAGGGUUGUAAAGUACUUUCAGCGGGGAGGCGUUACCCGCAGAAGAAGCACCGGCUAACUCCGUGCCAGCCGCCGCGGUAAUAC